rnacentral:rRNA from 1 species
GACGAACGCUGGCGGCGUGCCUAAUACAUGCAAGUAGAACGCACAGUUUAUACCGUGGCUUGGUACACCAUAAACUGUGAGGUGAGAACGGGUGAGUAACGCGUAGGUAACGUGCCUGGUAGCGGGGGAUAAGUAUUGGAAACGAUAGGUAAUACUGCAUAAUAUUGGUUAUUGCAUGAUAAUUGAUUGAAAGAUGCUAGUGCAUCACUACCCGAUGGGCCUGCGUUGUAUUGGCUAGUAGGUGAGGUAACGGCUCACCUAGGCGACGAUACGUAGCCGACCAGCGAGGGUGAUCGGCCACACUGGGACUGGGACACGGCCCAGAACCCUACGGGAGGCAGCCGUAGGGAAUCCCCGGCGAUGGAAGAAAGUCGGAACGAGCAACGCCGCGUGAGAGAAGAAGGUUUCCGGAUCGUAAAGCUCUGGUGUAACAGAAGAUCGGGUGUGAGAGUGGAAAGUUCACACUGUGACGGUAUCUUACCAGAAAGGGACGGCUAACUACGUG